rnacentral:lncRNA from 1 species
GAAGUGAGUCUAUGGAAUAAAUCAGAGAUUGAUUUAUGAGUUAUUGAUUAUGUAAUUAGAGUACUAAGUGAUUGAAUUAUAAGAGAAGUUAUUGGAAGAUUGAUUGUGGAUGGAAGAUUAUGAUUGUUGUUUAUUGAGAGCUGUGUAUGUUUUGACAGAGGAAGUGUGUGAUUACAAAAAUUAAGUGAAUUCGGAUUUGUUGGAGUGAAGUUUGUUAUUUCUGGUGUUAGAUGGAAAUUAUGUCUUUUGAGAGUGCAGAGUUACAGACUGUUGUUAUCAGUUGAUGAAGGAAUAUUGUUACUAGAAGAAAGCAUCGUAAUAU